GACGAACGCUGGCGGCGUGCCUAAUACAUGCAAGUAGAACGCUGAAGGAAGAGCUUGCUCUUCUGGAUGAGUUGCGAACGGGUGAGUAACGCGUAGGUAACCUGCCUGGUAGCGGGGGAUAACUAUUGGAAACGAUAGCUAAUACCGCAUAACAGUAGAUGCUGCAUGACAUUUGCUUAAAAGGUGCAAUUGCAUCACUACCAGAUGGACCUGCGUUGUAUUAGCUAGUUGGUGGGGUAACGGCUCACCAAGGCGACGAUACAUAGCCGACCUGAGAGGGUGAUCGGCCACACUGGGACUGAGACACGGCCCAGACUCCUACGGGAGGCAGCAGUAGGGAAUCUUCGGCAAUGGACGGAAGUCUGACCGAGCAACGCCGCGUGAGUGAAGAAGGGUUUCGGAUCGUAAAGCUCUGUUGUAAGAGAAGAACGAGUGUGAGAGUGGAAAGUUCACACUGUGACGGUAUCUUACCAGAAAGGGACGGCUAACUACGUG
rnacentral:rRNA from 1 species